GAUGAACGCUAGCGGCAGGCAUAAUACAUGCAAGUUGAACGGGAUUCGGGCAGCAAUGCCUGAUGAGAGUGGCGCACGGGUGCGUAACACGUAUGCAACCUGCCUUAAACCGGGGAAUAG
rnacentral:rRNA from 1 species